rnacentral:rRNA from 1 species
GAUGAACGCUGGCGGCGUGCCUAAUACAUGCAAGUCGAGCGAACAGACGAGGAGCUUGCUCCUCUGACGUUAGCGGCGGACGGGUGAGUAACACGUGGAUAACCUACCUAUAAGACUGGGAUAACUUCGGGAAACCGGAGCUAAUACCGGAUAAUAUAUUGAACCGCAUGGUUCAAUAGUGAAAGACGGUUUUGCUGUCACUUAUAGAUGGAUCCGCGCCGCAUUAGCUAGUUGGUAAGGUAACGGCUUACCAAGGCAACGAUGCGUAGCCGACCUGAGAGGGUGAUCGGACACACUGGAACUGAGACACGGUCCAGACGCCUACGGGAGGCAGCAGUAGGGAAUCUUCCGCAAUGGGCGAAAGCCUGACGGAGCAACGCCGCGUGAGUGAUGAAGGUCUUCGGAUCGUAAAACUCUGUUAUUAGGGAAGAACAAAUGUGUAAGUAACUAUGCACGUCUUGACGGUACCUAAUCAGAAAGCCACGGCUAACUACGUG